UCGGUCCCAGGCCGAUUUUUUUUUAAUAGAACGAAGUUGAAAAAUACGGCCUGGUAUUGAUUGUAUCUGGGCGUGGCAGGAACAGGAAACAAAAGCAGAGAUUCUUUACAUUUUGUUUCCUGCUUUUUUUCUGUAAUACUAAAGGUGUACGUAGAGGCAUUUUACUCCCGUAAAAGUUACAGUAAUUUAGCUCCGUGUCAUGUUCUCAAUUUAUAGCUAGCUAGCUAGCUAUGGCAUGCAACGCGUUGUCUUGUUUGAAGCAAGAUGGCCUCACUCUCGAUCUCAUGGCAGAACAGGCCCAGGCUCUCAAGCUCCUGUUUGAGGGAAGGGACGUGUUUAUCUGGUUCCCAACGGGGUAUGGCAAGUCUCUCUGCUAUAUCAGUUGCUACCCUUUUUAAUGGACUACAAGCUAGGUAGGACCAAGGCUCCUCCUGUUGACAAAAGUGUUGUUCUUGUUAAUUGUCUCUCCCCUUGUAUCUCUCAUCAUGAGACUCAUGAUUGACCAGAUCAGGAGUCUAAACAAUAGAGGUGUUUCUGCUGCCAUCCUCAGUAGCAAUAAAGGAAUCGACAAAGAUUUGAUUGCCACUGCCAAAGAAGUGUCUUCUGGGAAGUAUUUCCUGCUGUAUACUGCCCCAGAGGCUGUUGUUGAAGACCACUGUUGGAGGAUUCAUUUUUUGUUGUACCACAAGUCAAUUUGUUUUUAUGUAUUAAAAAACCACGCCCAGAUCACGCCCAAAUACAAUCAAUACCAGGCCUAUAGUAGGCGACCUAGCGUUCAAUUGGAGACGGAUCGGCCUGGGGUCGAGGCUAGGCUACCCCUGGCUUUACUGAAUUAACUAGCUGUGUCUGCUGUCUAGUUGGACCAGAUUUAGCUAGAUAAUGGGGUAGAGAAUAGUUGAGCGGUGCUGUGUGUAGCUUGAACUGUACUGGCUGGCAAGAAUCUAGGAUCUGGACAGCUGUACAUCCAAAGGAGCCAAGGAGUGCCAAUCAUCUUCUCCCAGUCUCUGACACGCUAAACAAAACGAGCUAGAACUGGGAGUCCCAGCUAGAAUUGCUAGCCGGAUCUAGACUAAUAGAAUGACAUGGAGGAGUGGUGAGGCCGGAUCCACACUAAUUGAUCGACCUAAAGACGCUCCUGUUCCAGAUUUCACGAAUGGCAAGGAAAGGGAUACAGAGUCAUGCAGGCAGGCCAGUUUGUCCAUAUUGUCAUCGAAUGUGGUUGAUGAGCUUUCUAGACUGGAAUCUGACUGAGUCAUGCAUGCAGCUAGGGUGCCCCCAUCUACAACUACCACGCAUGCAUGCAAUGAAUUUUAGUUCAUACAAUAACAUGACUUCAUUCCAGCAUAGAUAAAGAGAAUCCAGUUGACAUAUAAUACAAUCUGGAAGCUAACUACGUGGUGCCAUGCAAAGUGCAUGCACACGAUGCAUGUUAGUUCAUAACUAGACUGGCGGCGAUAGCCGCCCGAGCGACUGGCAAACUGCCUAUCAGUCACUCGUCUCAGCGGAAGUGUAAUAGAUCGUAUGACACUACUAAACAUGAAUAUCGUUAUAGAUAAUGUGGUUAAAUUUUGCUAUGAGUAGCGAUGUCAGACCGAUUUUCAUUUUUGCUAUUUCUAACUCCUAUGUAUUACUAUCUCUUUUGAACACUCUAGGCAAACCAGAAAAACUUUACUGCACUGGAUUUGGUCAAGCGAAUGCAGAGAUACAGCGUUUUGAAGAACACUAGUCAGGGAAAAAUUCGUACAAAAAUUUACCGCAUUUUAAUGUACUUGGGCGGGACUUAUGAAAUUUGUUGUUAACACCGGAAAUGAUCUUAAAGUUAGCAUAUCUGCUGAACCGCUUGGUCUAUUCUCUUUUAAAAAAGUAUGAAAUGGACACUCAGGACUCAGGAGUUAACAUUGUAACCAUUUGAUAUCUAUUAUGAAGUUUAUAAUGUUUCUGUAAUGUAUAUCUUUAUGAUGUCCCUAUAAUAGUAUGAUGUCUCCUGCUUCAGAGAGUUCUUUUGGAUUUAAAGUAACCAUGCUAUCUUUUCUUUCGUACAGUAUAUUGUAUCAUGUUUCAGAACUCUCAUCAAUGUCCACCUUACGCUUGUAUCUGUUUCUUGAUCUUUAUAAGCAAUUUUUCUGUCAA